rnacentral:rRNA from 1 species
GCCUAAGGAAGAGCUCACGGCUGAUUAGCUAGUUGGUAAGGUAAAGGCUUACCAAGGCGACGAUCAGUAUCUGGUUUGAGAGGAUGAUCAGACACACUGGAACUGAGACACGGUCCAGACUCCUACGGGAGGCAGCAGUGGGGAAUUUUCCGCAAUGGGCGAAAGCCUGACGGAGCAAUGCCGCGUGAGGGAUGAAAGCCUCAGGGUUGUAAACCUCUUUUUUCAGGGAAGAAAUAAUGACGUUACCUGAAGAAUAAGCAUCGGCUAACUCCGUGCCAGCAGCCGCGGUAAGACGGAGGAUGCAAGUGUUAUCCGGAAUCACUGGGCGUAAAGCGUCUGUAGGUGGUCUAAUAAGUCAAAUGUUAAAUCUUGAAGCUCAACUUCAAAACUGCAUUUGAAACUAUUAGACUAGAGUAUAGUAGAGGUAAAGGGAAUUUCCAGUGGAGCGGUGAAAUGCGUAGAGAUUG